GAUGAACGCUGGCGGCGUGCUUAACACAUGCAAGUCGAGCGAUGAAGCUCCUUCGGGAGUGGAUUAGCGGCGGACGGGUGAGUAACACGUGGGUAACCUGCCUCAUAGAGGGGAAUAGCCUUUCGAAAGGAAGAUUAAUACCGCAUAAGAUUGUAGUACCGCAUGGUACAGCAAUUACAGGAGUAAUCCGCUAUGAGAUGGACCCGCGUCGCAUUAGCUAGUUGGUGAGGUAACGGCUCACCAAGGCGACGAUGCGUAGCCGACCUGAGAGGGUGAUCGGCCACAUUGGGACUGAGACACGGCCCAGACUCCUACGGGAGGCAGCAGUGGGGAAUAUUGCACAAUGGGGGAAACCCUGAUGCAGCAACGCCGCGUGAGUGAUGACGGUCUUCGGAUUGUAAAGCUCUGUCUUUAGGGACGAUAAUGACGGUACCUAAGGAGGAAGCCACGGCUAACUACGUGCCAGCAGCCGCAGUAACAC
rnacentral:rRNA from 1 species